GUAGUCAUAUGCUUGUCUCAAAGAUUAAGCCAUGCAUGUCUAAGUAUAAAUAACUUUAUAUUGUGAAACUGCGAAUGGCUCAUUAAAUCAGUUAUGAUCUACGUGACAAAUUCUUUACUACUUGGAUAACCGUGGUAAUUCUAGAGCUAAUACAUGCAAAAAAGCCCUGACUUACGAAGGGGUGCACUUAUUAGAUAAAACCAACGCGGGGUAAAACCUGUUUCUUGGUGAAUCAUAAUAAUUAAGCGGAUCGCAUGGCCUUGUGCCGGCGACGGUCCACUCGAUUUUCUGCCCUAUCAUGGUUGAGAUUGUAAGAUAGAGGCUUACAAUGCCUACAACGGGUAACGGGGAAU
rnacentral:rRNA from 3 species